UCCCUGAGCUCUUCCCCAGAACUCCCCAAAUUUCCCCAAGCAAAAAAUCAGGAUUUACUGAAGUUCUUUCAGGAUUUAUUGAAGUUCUCUUAGGAUUUAUAAAAGUCCUUUUAGGAUUUAUUGAAGUUCUUUUAGGAUUUAUUCAGGUCCUUUUAGGAUUUAUUCAAGUUCUUUCAGGAUUUAUUGAAUUAUUUCAGGAUUUAUAAGUAAUUUCAGGAUUUAGUGAAGUUUUUCAGGAUUUAUUGAAAUUCUUUCAGGAUUUAUCGAAUUCCUUCAGGAGUUACCAAAGUCCUUUCAGGGUUUAAUGAAUUAUUUCAGCAUUUAUUGAAUUCUGUCAGAAUUUAUUGAAUUCUUUCAGGAUUUAUUGAAUUCUUUCAGCAUUUAUUGAAUUCUUUCAGGAUUUAUUGAAGUCCUUUCAGGAUUUAUUGAAUCCUUUCAGGAUUUAUUGAAUUCUUUCAGGAUUUCCAAGCCCUUUCAUGAUUAAUUGAAUUCUGUCAGGAUUUAUUGAAUUCCUUCAGGAUUUAUUGAGUUCUGUCAGGAUUUCCAAGCCCUUUCAGGAUUUAUUGAAUUCUUUCAGGAGUUACCAAAGUCCUUUCAGGAUUUAUUGAAUUCUGUCAGGAUUUAUAGAAUUAUUUCAGUAUUUAUUGAAUUCCUUCAGGAUUAAUUGAAUUCUGUCAGGAUUUCCAAGCCCUUUCAGGAUUAACUGAAUUAUUUCAGUAUUUAUUGAAGUCCUUUCAGGAUUUAAUGAAUUAUUUCAGCAUUUAUUGAGUUCUGUCAGGGUUUCCAAGCCCUUCCAGGGUU